ACGUAUCCACGUAUAAACCAUUGUGAACCGUAACUAACGCCUUUAGAGUGAAGACCAAGAUAGUGUGUAUCCAAACAUUCAAGCAGUUUUUGUGAUUAACUGUGUUUGAUAUGCCACAGCUGACUGGCUCCGGCCUAUCAAUUGUACUUGCUUUCUCUGAAGUGUAUUAAUCACUACUUAUUAACCAUUACAACCCAUCUUUAUAAUUUUGAACUAACCAAUUUCCUACUCUUUUCGGAGAGAUGAAAUUAAUUACGAAACAAAGAACAACUCUUAGCAACGGAUAUCUUGGUUCU
rnacentral:misc_RNA from 1 species